AUUGAACGCUGGCGGCAUGCCUUACACAUGCAAGUCGAGCGGCAGCGGGGGAGAAGCUUGCUUUUCCUGCCGGCGAGUGGCGAACGGGUGAGUAAUACAUCGGAACGUGCCCUGUAGUGGGGGAUAACUAGUCGAAAGAUUAGCUAAUACCGCAUACGACCUGAGGGUGAAAGUGGGGGACCGCAAGGCCUCAUGCUAUAGGAGCGGCCGAUGUCUGAUUAGCUAGUUGGUGGGGUAAAGGCCUACCAAGGCGACGAUCAGUAGCUGGUCUGGGAGGACGAUCAGCCACACUGGGACUGAGACACGGCCCAGACUCCUACGGGAGGCAGCAGUGGGGAAUUUUGGACAAUGGGCGAAAGCCUGAUCCAGCAAUGCCGCGUGUGUGAAGAAGGCCUUCGGGUUGUAAAGCACUUUUGUCCGGAAAGAAAUGGCUCUGGUUAAUACCUGGGGUCGAUGACGGUACCGGAAGAAUAAGGACCGGCUAACUACGUGCCAGCCGCCGCAGUAAUAC
rnacentral:rRNA from 1 species